rnacentral:rRNA from 1 species
GGCAGCCGCGGUAAUUCCAGCUCCAAUAGCGUAUAUUAAAGUUGUUGCAGUUAAAAAGCUCGUAGUUGAAUUUCGGGAUCAAGGAAUCGGUCAUGCCUUGGUAUGUACUGGUUUUAUUGGUUCUCACCUUCUAAAGAACCAUGAUGUCAUUCAUUUGAUGUUAUGGGGAAUUAGGACUGUUACCUUGAAAAAAUUAGAGUGUUUAAAGCAAGCUCACGCUUGAAUACAUUAGCAUGGAAUAAUGAAAUAGGACGUUUGAUUCUAUUUUGUUGGUUUCUAGGAUCGACGUAAUGAUUAAUAGGGAUAGUUGGGGGCAUUAGUAUUCAAUUGUCAGAGGUGAAAUUCUUGGAUUUAUUGAAGACUAACUACUGCGAAAGCAUUUGCCAAGGAUGUUUUCAUUAAUCAAGAACGAAAGUUAGGGGAUCGAAGACGAUCAGAUACCGUCGUAGUCUUAACCAUAAACUAUGCCGACUAGGGAUCGGAUGAUGUUAAUUUUUAAUGACUCAUUCGGCGCCUUACG